UCACGUAAAUCUUUAAUAGUCGAACAGACUAUUUUACUUAAGCUUCUACACCUAAUAUACAAUUUAAUUCAACAUCGAGGUCACAAACUUAACUAUUAAUAAGAACUUGCUAAUUAAAUAAUGCUGUUAUCCCUAGAGUAACUUUCUUAAAAUAAACUAACUAAUCAAAAAUUUAUUUCUUCAAUAAUUGCCCCAAUCAAAAAUACUUCUUAAUUUAUAGCUUCUAGGGUCUUCUCGUCCCAAAGAUCUAUAAAAGCAUUUUUACUUUUAAUUUAAAUUCAAAUUCAUUCAAUAAAACCUUCCUUUCAGUAUCAACCCUUCAUUCCAGUCUCCAAUUAAAAAA
rnacentral:rRNA from 1 species